GCCCCGAGGCGGCGACGGCGGCGCCGGGAGCCGGAGCCGAAGCCGGGAGUGAGGCGCAGCGGCCGCGGCGGCAACAAGUGCCGGAGCUGAGCCGAGCCGGGGCCAAGCCGAGGCGGAGCCGUCCCGCCGCGGACACCACCCGGCCGCCCAUCGCGGGCGCAACGCAUGGAGCGAGAGCGGCGGCGGUCGCCGGGCUGAGCCGCGCGGAGCGGCCGGGACGUGGAUGCAGCCGCGAUCUCCCGCCCCCGCCCCGCUGAGCAGGAGCUGCUCCCGGACAAGAUAUGAGAAAUGAGUGUUGGACGUCGAAGAAUAAAGUUGUUGGGAAUCCUGAUGAUGGGAGUCUCCUUCACUGAGAUUUCAAGUCUACGGAGAAAGAAGAGAUGUAGCAGGUUUUGAAACAUGUUUGGAGGACCACGGAGGGCCUUUGUUCCGGAGAUCAGAACCUCAUUGGACUAAAAUCAAGAUGUCAGCAGGGCUGCAUUCCUUUCUGGGGACUCCAGAAAAGAAUACGUUUUCCUGACUUUUGGAGCUUCUAGACGCUGCCCGAAUUCCUCGAGUCAAGGCCAUCUUCAAAACCGGCAAUGGCUGGUUGAGUUUUUUCAAGUCACAUCACUUCUGCCUCUCUCAUCCACCUUUAAGGACUCUAGUGAUUGCAUUGGGCCCACCUGGAUAAUCCAGGAUUCUCUCCCCCAUUUUGAGAUCAGCCAAAAGAACCAAGAGGGCUAGGGGGAAAUUUUCCCCUCCCCGACAGUUUUGGUGUAGUUGGCUGGAUACUGCUUGGGUACUGCUUGCUCCUGGGACUGUUGCAGAUAAAGAGACCCUGGAACCUCUGAAAAAAGCCUGGCAGAAGCUGUGCCGCCAAGGCCCAAGGUGACUCCCAGCGUGUAGAUGGGGCUCAGCCUCCCCUUGAGGGGCCCUGCAGCCCUCCUCACCGUGGAGCAUCCUCAAAGCACACCCGGGACACAGAAGCAAAGGCCCGCAUGUGCCUUCACCGACCAAGCCGGGCGGCUAGACUCUCAGCUCAGUGAUGGGCAUAAAAGCAGAUCCAGCUACCAAUUUACAGGAAAUGCAGAAGACAGAGGAAGUAUGUUAAAUGACACCAACAAAAUCCAGACUGUGGAACCCUCUACACGAUAAAGGACCUGGCUUCAUUAACAGAUACAUCGCAAGAGUCAAGAAGGAGACCUUCCACAUAAAAAUUCUGAUUUUGUAUUCUUUUGGAAAAAUGGAAAUACCUGGUAACACUAGCCCAGACCUCCACCGUGUAACAACCAGCCGAAAUGAGAAGUGUUACAGGAAGGUGCUGUCCAGGGAACCACAGACCUCACCACUCCCUGGUGCCCUUAAAGCCCACUUCCUGUAUCUAUGCUCCAGCCUCAACAUCAGCCUCUGGUUUGCAACCCAUAGGAACUUUCCUUUCCUUCCUUCUGGGCCUUCACUCUCCUCCACUGGGCCCAGCCAUCACGGGUCAGGUCGGGCUGGGCCAAAGUGGGUGCUUGACUUUCCCCUCCUUUUCAUGAUGUUUUUCUCCCAAAUCUUUUUUCUGUGCUCUGAAACCUUUUUGGUCCUCCAAGAGUGGAAGAUUUUGAAACUCAAAAGCCAGAAGGAGACACUUCUCCCUCCUCCAUCCCCUCCGGGGCAGUGCUUCAUAUCACAUCCCUUCCCUGAGGGAGUGAGAAAGAACAACCUGAGGCUUUAAAAGGGGGAACAGCAGAACAGGAUGGGAAGGAAACCAGGGAGGAAAUUUGGUUAAGCAGGAGAUAUGGGUCUUAGACAUAUCAGAUUGGCAAAUAUUAAAAAGUUGGAUGAUAUCAAGUGCCACCAAAGGUGGAGGAAAGCAGAAUAUCUCAUAGGAAUGUUAACUAAUCUUUCUGGGAAGCAGAUUGAAAGUGUUAAGUGAAAUGGAAUAUGGGCCAGUCCUACAACCCAGUAUUUGGGAACGCUGAGCCCAGAGACGUUCUUGCCCAGGCCCCCAAAGAAACGUGUGGAUUUGUUCUCGUAGAAUUGUUUGUAAUAAUGAAGAUUUGGAAACACCUAGAAGUUUAUUCAUAAUAAAGUAGAUAAAUAAAAGGUUAUAUGAAAAUGCUGAGUACCAUUCAGCAGAUGAAAGGAAUGCUCUGGUCCAUAUUUACUUAUAUUAACUUGGAGCCAUCUCAAAAAUCUCAUAGUCUUGACUAGAAAAAAGUGAUAAAAGAAUGACAUGUUUACCAAAGACUACUUAAGCAUAUUUUUAAAAAUAUGCACAAAAUGAUACCAAUAUUGGGCCUAGAUGCAAAUAGAAAUAUAGAUUGGCCAGACACAAAGAAUCACAAGGACGUAAGAGGAGAAAAAUGAGAUUGGGGAUGGGGUGAAGGGGUCAAAAAAAUAAAGUAAAAUAAAAGUGAGCCCUGCAUGUGCUAAUAAAGAUGGCGUGCAUGUGGCUAAUUGAUCCUGAGCAAAGGAGGUCUCAGCAAACAGAAAACUGAAGCAAAACAAAACAUCAGUUAAUGUUUAAAAUAUUAACCUGAUGCCUGUGGAAAGAGAACUCUGUGAAUAACCAGAGGUCUGAUGUGUGCCCAGAGGUGACAGAGCAGUUCUGCAGUCCCUGUGAUUCCCUCCCACUGAUCUCCUGCUGGGGUCACUCCAUAGCUUGGCCUUGAGUUGCUUUUAUCUACAGACUUUCAGCCUCCUCCCAGCACCGCUGACUGCUCUCAGGAAACCUGUUGGAUCACGAGAUUUUCCCACAGAGAUCGUCACCCUGGGGUAUUUUCAACCUGUUAUUAGCCUCGAGUUCCUCCAGCAAAGUCAGGAUAUCCUGGGAACAAGUACUCCUCCAGCCCCUGAGCCCUCCUUUUUUAUGUGCUUUCAGUACCAAAAACUUUCUCAGACAGAGUGUUAUAUGAUGUCCAGCUUUUUUGCUUGGGGUGUGGAGGACAGAGGUGAGCGGUUCUGGCCAGCAGCUCUGUUUCCGUUCGAAGCCCCACUCUUGGGGAGUGAGGGGGAGAAAGAGAGACGAUGAGUUAUUUGCUGUCUCCCGAAUCCAUCCUUCUCUCUCUUCCUCUUCCCCUCCGUCCUUUCCUUAGAAACAUAUAUUCAGUGCUGAGUGUGCACAAGGCACGUGGCAGCCCCCAUUGAAUCUGGCAUUGUCCCCUGCCCUCAAGGAGAGUCGAGUCUAGUGGGGAGCAAGCGGUGUGUGUGGUCAAGCAUGGUAGGGAUUUGUGAGGGGCGAGGGAGCUUUGAGACCACAGAGGUGGGAAGCUUUAUCACAUGGGAGGCUUCUUGGAGGUGGUCCUCCUUGAGCUGAGUCUGAAAGGGUAAAUUAGAGGUAACAAGAAGGGGAAUAAUGGGGGAAAGGUAUUCUAUUGCAAUAGCUGGGAGGCAUGAAACAGCAGGACACAGAGGGAGCUGUCAGCAGUUCAUCAUGUCUGGAUUUGGGGCUCCGGAAGAGCCUUGGGUGCUAGGACUUCGCUCAUGUUCUAUCUCCUCCCUGAAGCCUGCAGAACUGCCCCAGUCCUGCCAGAUCCCCCUCCUCUGAAAUCUUGGACCAACCUUUUAUAAUUGCAUGUUCCCCUACUGUUAUGGUGUGUGUGUGUGUGUGAGUGUGAAGGUUUUGUUUCCCAGUCUCAACUUAGAGAGGGGCCCACAAGCUCAGGGUUUCUCCCACCCAGUGCCUUGCAUCCAGCCUUCACUCCACCGAGGGGGUGGCUCACCCAGUUCCGAGUGGGUGUACUGUUCGGUGGGGAAGCAGACUGAGGUGGUGGGUAGCGGCACCAAAUCCCACACAGUGCAUUGGGUUUUCAGUCUUAGCGGCUUCUGUAAAGGAUAUGCCUGACCGGGCUGUCAUCUGGGCCAAUGCCCAGGUGAAUGUUCUUCUCAGAGGGAGACCUGAAAGCCCUGGUAUUCAGCCUCUCAGAUGGUGCCCAGUGAGCCCCACCUCCUGGUUUUCAUGGUCUUGUGCAGUCUCCUCCCACAUUGUGUCAGGAUUGAUCGGUAUGACCAACAGAAUACAGCAGAUUGAUGGCAUAUGCCUUUGAGGCUAGCUCAAUAAAAGACACUAUGACUUCUGCAUUAGUUUCUGUCUUGGACUGCUCACUCUGGAAGAAGCCAGCUGCCAUGUUGUCAGGACACACAAGCAGCCCUAUCAGAGGUCCAUGUGGUACGGAACCGAGGCCUCCUGCCAACAGCCAUGAGAGGAGCCAUCUUGCAUGUGGACCCCCAGGUCCAGUCAAGCCUUCAGAUGACAGCAGCCCCGUUCAACAUCUUGAGACCUUGAGCCAGAACAACCCAGCUCAGGUGCUUCCCUUGAUGGGACCAAUAGCCCAGCAGCAGAUGCAGAACUCUCCUCUGAACUUUCCUUAUCUGCCUGGCACAGAGCAUGGAGAAUCAGCAGCCACCGCCCCACCUCCACCCUCCAGCUGCUCUCCAGUCAGGGAGGCACCGACCUUGGGCACCAGGACAUUCCCAAAGAAAUUGUAUAAGAAUCCUAAGGCACAGAGAGGUUAAGCAAUUUGCUCAAGGUCACACAGCAAGUAGUAGCAGCGUAGGAAUUCGCACCUGGGCAGCCUGGCUGUGCAUUCUGUCCUGAGCUCAGCCAGGCACCUGCGGAGAGACCCUCACACUUCCCCGUCUGCCUACACCAGUGGUUCUCAACCAAGAGCAGUUUUGCCCCCCAAAGGACAUGUGGUGAUGUCUAGAGACAUUUUUGAUUGUUGUGACCAGAAGGCUGCUACUGGCACCUAGUAAGUAGAGGCCAAAGAUGGUGCUAAAUGUUCUGAAAUGCACAGGAUCAGGCCUCACAACAAGGGGAUUACCUGGUCCAAAAGGUCAGUAAUGCCGAGGUUGAGAAACUGACCUGGGCCCAUCUCACAGCCUCCUUGAGGCUGAGGACCCUCCACCACACACACGUACACACACACCAUCUGAUUUCUGUUACGGUGGUGGUCCAGGGUCCUGGGGGUGGGGGCAACAUGCGUCCUCGCCUCAGCAUCUCUUAGAGGCCACAUCAGAACGUGAAAGACUCAGUUUGCACUGCAGCUACAAGUUUUUGGAAAUUAAGAAUUUUGAGGCACUGACAAAUGUAGCUGAUGUUAUUUUGUAUCAGGCUCUGUGCUAAGUAAGCAUUUCACAUAUUUUAUCUUAGGAAAUCUUCAUAAACCAGUCUUAGAUGCUAUUAUUAUCCCUAUUUCAAAGAUUGGGAAACUGAGGCUGAAAAAGGUUAAGGCACUCACCCAAGGUGACACAGCUAAUAGGUGACAGGGCCAGGUUUCCAGCUGACCCAGGCAGACUGAUGGCACAGAUGUACAUACCCAGGCAAAGUAAAGAUAGCAAAUUAACAGAGAGAGACCGCCUGAUGCCCACCCUGGGGCUGCCGGAGGUCAGGGGCUUGGUGCCCUCCCCUGGGACGGAGGGAUCAGCACCACUCACUCCACUGCACAGCUGCAACCAAGACUCUCCGAGCUGGGCAGAGAGCAGCUUGACCUGCCAGGGUUCUUAAAGAGGGAGGAGUGGAGAAGGCAGAGGUGGGUUGGUUUUGUACAGGGACAGUAAAGACAGAAAAUCCUCCAGGAAGAGAUGGGUGAAGAAGGCAGGCUUCGGAGCUCUUUAUUACUUACUAUAGCAGGGGAAAGUAUGGGAAGCUUGUUCCUAAGCCAUAAAUGCCCUCCUUUGAUCCCUGUGCAUAUCAGAGAUAAAUGAGUCACUUAGGCCUCAGGAAUUAAUGAUUGUUCUGAUUAUUACCUUAAGUGACCUUCCAGCAGUAGUAAUUCUCACCACUCCCUGCAAAGUAGCUGUGUCGGGGUUUGACCAGGGUUGGGGAAGUGGCCGGGACUGAAGUGGGGAGAGUUCCUUCGGUGAUUGGGCACAGUUUGCAAAGAGGAUAUCAGCCUCAGCUCUUCAGGCCAGAGAACAGUUAGACUCAGACCCCAACUUCUGGGCUCUGCCUUCUUCUUUGCCUUCAGGACCCUGUUGAAUCCUGACCCCACUGAGAGGGUUGGACCAGAAGUGUGUGCAGAGCUGCAGGGCCAUCUGAAAGCAAGAGGUCGUUUGGUGCAAAGUUAACAAGACCUUCCGCAGGCCCCUUCCCAUUCAGAUUCGAGGAAGAGCUUUGAAGUUUCCUUUGUGUGCAUGUUUUCAUAGCCCUAAUCCUGCUGUACUGGAAUUAGCCUGCAGCCCUGCCCAUCCCUGGAGAUUUAUUCCCCAACUACAAAAAUCUUAGAAAAAUACUGCAAGCUCCACCCACCAUCCCCAAGCCACUGGCUGCUUUUUCCUCAGGCUAAAAUACAAAGGAGACCUCAGAACCGCCACCAGGAGACAUUUUGUACGUGUUUAUAGUUUCUCUAGAGUCAUUCCGAUGACCCCCUAGAACCGGAUCUCAGGGCAAAAGCUUCCAAGAUGUGCGUGCUGGGAGGUGGGGCGAACGUGGUAAGAGGAAGGGUGAGAGAACAGAAUGUCCCUGAAGCUGCCAAGGGCCAGGGCAGUACCAGCAGGGUCCAAAGAGAAGAAAAAGCAGGUGGACUGAGCCUUUCCAGUCGUACCCCAUGAGCCAACCACUGCACUUUGUGUAGACAAACAUCAGUCUCAGGAAUCUUUGUUGCUCUGAGCGUCACAAAAGGGCCUCUGCUAUCAUAUUGCCCAACGCCACCAGAAGCUCAGUAAGUCGGUAUUGAAGAAGGGGGGUGGGGCAGAGGGAGGGGGAGUGGAGGAAGAAGAAAGACUAAAACAGAUAGACGGACAGAGAGGGAGGGAGGUAAGCCCGGAAUCCCAAAGCAGCCUUAGAUUUUGCUUGCCUGAUUUGCUUUUCAGAGUAAAGACUCUGAGCAAUGGUGCCAUCUUGUGGUCAUGAGGAGGAAUUACAACCAGUCUCUCCCUCCCUCCCCCCACCUCCCUCCCUCCCCCCACCUCCCUCCCUCCCUCCAUCCCUUUCUCCCCCCCCCACCUCUGUCUCUCUCUAUUGGGUACAUAAAUAGAUCACAUAAUAGGAAGUACUAAUAAGUGUAAGGAAGGGAAAUCUAGCAGGAGAAUUGUAAGGCCAUUUCAGGUAGUAAUUGACCAGGCACAACUUUUAUUAAGCGGCUGACAUUUGCUCAGAGGCCUGAAGGGGGCGAGGGAGCAGGCCGAGUGCAUAUCUGAGGGAAGAAGGAAUCGUCAGUGUAAAGGAUGCAAAGGCCUGAAGCCUCUGUGUGGAUCUCCUCAGGCCUGUGGUUCUACCAGAAGCAGCUGUAGGAGAUGACACACGAAGUGAUCUAGGGGUCUAGAGUCUAGGGGCUAAGAAUAGAUCUGAUAUGUAUCCCUUCUCUGGCCAGCCCUGUUGUCAGCAUCCAAAGAUACCUUUAGAGAAAUCCACCUGCCCAGGGCCCACAGAGACGUGGGGAGGCCAUGCUCUAGGUCCACAGUCAGGACCUUUUCUGGCUCCCAUCCUUCCAAAUCCAGAAGCUGACUUUCUCCCCCCAGGUGGAGAAGCUUAAUUAACAUACAACAAGAAAAUUACAAUUUCCAGAGCCUCAAAAGAUGCCCCUAAAACUCCAUAAAAAUGGAACUGACCCCAUUUCUUAGGGCUUCAGUUCUGCUUCCUUUUUUUUUUUUAGAAACAUUUAAUUUUUUUAAAACAAAGUAAUAUAUAUUCGUAGUUUAAAAGUCAAUAGUAUUGCGAUGUUCAUAAUAAAAAAGAGCAUCCUUUCUACCUCCUAGUCCCUUUCUCCAGAGGCAUGCACGUCUAGUACUUUUGGCUGUGUCUUCCCCUAUUUAAGCAGCUGACUUUUGAUGUGAGAAAUCCAACACGCUUCACUGUCUGGGCCGGUGUUUGCUUUCCCCAAAUUUUUGGACUCCCUUAUGUGGCCAGUGGUGAUCCCACGACUCUGCCUUUGCUUAUAUCAAACAGUCCAGAUCUCCAGCUGAACGACAUGUCCACUAAGUACGCAAAGGUGAAAUAAAAAAAGAGAGCAGCUCUUUCUGAGAGAGAGAACACCCAAGUGUUUGAGACCUGCCUACUGGCCAGUUCGUGUUCCGGGCUGGCCUGCUCUGCCCCUUGCUCAUUUCACAAAUGAUGCACAGUGUCCAGGUGUGUUUUGCUCCAUUUCCAUGUUAACAGAGCACAGUUUGCAGCUGUGCUUACAAAGUAUCACCUGGAACAUUAUUUGGGGUUAGGGAGUGGGUUGCUAAGCUUUUUUCUUUAUUUCUGUAGGUUUAUGUUCUCUGUAGGCAGGGUGCCAGUUGCUUACAAGUAAAACUGCUCCAAACUAGAUUGCUAUCAGAGCCCAUUUGGUUUUGCUUUUCCAGCAUAUGAGUCAACAAGAAUGAGUCAGAUGCUUCCUGAGCGGCCUCUGGGUAGAUGAGGUGACUGUUUCGUCAGGUUACUUGACUCAGAAGGUCAGAAAUGCCCGCAACAAGAAACCCGAGGACUUGAUAGCUUUUCUUCAGUGUUUGCAUUCACAAUCCUGUGCAGGGGCCCCAGUCUUUUCCCUGAGAGCAUUCGGUAGCCUGGGUGGCCAGGUCAAAUGACCGCUACCAAAAUAAAAAAACAAAACAAGACCCACGGGAAUGUUACAAAACAGUGAAUUUAGUCUUUUCAUUUUUGUGGUUUCGGCGACUGCUUUAUUUGGGUAUGUUCUUGACGGUUGAUGGUUUCAGAGGGUUCUGUCCAAGUGGAAGUCCUCUGAUGAGAGAGUGUAAGUUGUUCCUUGUAACAUUCCCCGUGUUAGGGAACGUGGGCUGACUGCAGCUCCAAGCUCUUGCUCUGGGCUCUUCAGGGUCAGUGUCUCCUGCUCAGGUAAGUUUGGCAGGUAAGUUUGCUCAGGUAAUACUGUCUUGUUACAGGGCUACCCAGGGGGCACCUGCCUGGGUCUGGGGAAAGGCCCUGGGAGAAGCUUCCUCUCGGAGCCUGUACCUGGGCCUGUGUGUAGGGAAGGCAGGUUGGUCACUGCUGCCUUGAAGCUAACCCAGCCUUACCUGGAUCAGGAGCUAUAAUAGACUCACCUAGAGUAAAAUCACUGGCUACCAGGGCAAAGCAGGACUUAGCUGUCUUCUUCCUGCCACAAGAAACAGGCCUGCCGCUGCUACCUCUCCAGUGAGAGUGAGGAUGACAUUUGCCUCCGUGUGGUUUUCAGUUUUAAGAAGAUGGAGGUUGGGAGCUGGGGGCACGGGGAGGCCUGGCAAUUUUGACAAGGGCUUAGAGCAGGAUUCUUGGGUGCUGCCCACAGGACUAAACCACGGCAAUGUUGUUUUUUUUUUUUUUUUAAUUUUUAUUUACUUAUUUAUUUACAUUUAUUUUUGGCUGUGUUGGGUCUUCGUUUCUGCGUGAGGGCUUUCUCUAGUUGCGGCAAGCGGGGGCCACUCUUCAUCGCGGUGCGCGGGUCUCUCACUGUCGCGGCCUCUCUUGUUGCGGAGAACAAGCUCCAGACGCGCAGGCUCAGUAGUUGUGGCUCACGGGCCUAGUUGCUCCGCGGCAUGUGGGAUCUUCCCAGACCAGGGCUCGAACCCGUGUCCCCUGCAUUAGCAGGCAGACUCUCAACCACUGCGCCACCAGGGAAGCCCCACGGCAAUGUUUCUUGAGGCCAGUUUGCCGAACAUAUUGUGCCCAGGUCCGUCCUGGCUUAUUGUUAGUUAUCAGUCACUGUUAAAUUUUAAGAUUACCCUUUUUCAUUCUUAAAAAUGUCCUGCUUUGGGGGAUAAAUGAUGUGGCCACCCAAUAUUUGGGGUACCUUUGGGGAAUGUAUCCUAAGAAUGUGUACAAAGAUGUAGCUUCCAGAGAUGUUUAUCACAGGGCUACUAGGUACGAAGAAAAGUUAGAGAUACAUUAUGUGUCCUACAAUAAAGGAUUAACUAAAUUAGUUAAAUAAAUUAUAGUACAUCCACAUAGUGGAAUGCUAGGUAGCCAUUAAAAAAUGGAAUGUAACAAAAUAGUAAAUAGCAUAGAAGUAUACAACACUGUAAAGCAAUUAUACUACAAUAAUGAUGUUAAAAAAUAAAAAUAAAAUGAGGACUGGAUGAAUACACAAUAAAUUGGUGUUGGUUAUCUCUGGGAAGUGGGGUUAGAAGUGGCUUCUAUAUUCUCCCUUAUGCUUUUCCUGUGCUUCUAAAUUUUCUACAAUGAGCAUAUAUGUUGUAGCAGAAUAAUGACCAGAGAUGUCUACAUCCUAAUCCUCAGAGUCUGUGACUAUGUUAGGUUACAUGACAAAAGGGAAUUAAGUUUGCAUAUGGAACUGUCACUGCUAAUCAGCUGACCUGGAGAAGGUGAGAGCAACUGGGAUAACCCAGGUGGGCCCAAUGUCAUCACAGGGGUCUUUACAUGUGGAAGAGGGAGGCAGAACAUUGAUGCCCUGGGAGAAAGUCUCCACCAGCUAUUGAAGACGGGAGGGAGCCAGAAGCCCAGAAAAGCCGGUGACCCCUAGAAGCUGGAAAAGGCAAGAGAACCGGUUCUCUCCUAGAGCCUCCAGAAAAGGAACU